UGGGGAAUAUUGGACAAUGGGCGAAAGCCUGAUCCAGCCAUGCCGCGUGUGUGAAGAAGGUCUUCGGAUUGUAAAGCACUUUAAGUUGGGAGGAAGGGCAGUUACCUAAUACGUGAUUGUUUUGACGUUACCGACAGAAUAAGCACCGGCUAACUCUGUGCCAGCAGCCGCGGUAAUACAGAGGGUGCAAGCGUUAAUCGGAAUUACUGGGCGUAAAGCGCGCGUAGGUGGUCUGUUAAGUUGGAUGUGAAAUCCCCGGGCUCAACCUGGGAACUGCAUUCAAAACUGACUGACUAGAGUAUGGUAGAGGGUGGUGGAAUUUCCUGUGUAGCGGUGAAAUGCGUAGAUAUAGGAAGGAACACCAGUGGAGAAGGCGACCACCUGGACUAAUACUGACACUGAGGUGCGAAAGCGUGGGGAGCAAACA
rnacentral:rRNA from 1 species